AAACCGUUCAGGGGUAAACCUAAGAAACCCAAAAGAUCGAACGGGGAGAUUCAUCGUCAGCGACGCUGGCUUCGCGUCGGUGGGCGAUGUCCCGCGGAGCCUCGCGGCUCGCGCGCGGACACGCUGCCGUGCGUCGAUGUCCGGCGUUCGUCGUCGUGCACUUCUCCCCUAGUAGAACGUCGCGACCCGCUGGGUGUCGGUCUACGGCCCGGGUGCGGUGACUGACGCGUCGCCGGUAAAACGGCACGCGUCAAACCCUCGGUCGCCCGGCCGGCUGCCCGGCGGUACACGCAAGGUAUCAGGCCGCACCUUACUUGACGAGUGCGUCGAGGCCGUCGCAAGCGCGCGCCACGGUACACGGAGGACUAACGGACCCAGUGCCGUCCCCGGUCCUGGCCCGCUGUUGGUCGCACGGUUAACCUUCGACAGGCCUACGAACGUCCCCUGGGAAAUCCGGGGGACCGAUACCGGUCGGCGACGCUACUGCUUUGGGUACUCUUAGGA
rnacentral:rRNA from 1 species